rnacentral:tRNA from 1 species
GGAGAGAUGCCGGAGUGGUCGAUCGGGGCGGUCUCGAAAACCGUUGUACCUUUACAGGUACCCAGGGUUCGAAUCCCUGUCUCUCCGCCA